ACGAACGCUGGCGGCGUGCUUAACACAUGCAAGUCGAACGGUGAAGCCCUUCGGGGUGGAUCAGUGGCGAACGGGUGAGUAACACGUGAGCAACCUGCCCCUGGCUCUGGGACAACCACUGGAAACGGUGGCUAAUACCGGAUACGACCCGCCUCGGCAUCGAGUGUGGGUGGAAAGUUUUUCGGCUGGGGAUGGGCUCGCGGCCUAUCAGCUUGUUGGUGAGGUGAAGGCUCACCAAGGCGACGACGGGUAGCCGGCCUGAGAGGGCGACCGGCCACACUGGGACUGAGACACGGCCCACACUCCUACGGGAGGCAGCAGUGGGGAAUAUUGCACAAUGGGCGAAAGCCUGAUGCAGCGACGCCGCGUGAGGGAUGACGGCCUUCGGGUUGUAAACCUCUUUCAGCUCCGAAGAAGCGAAAGUGACGGUAGGAGCAGAAGAAGCACCGGCUAACUACGUG
rnacentral:rRNA from 1 species